ACGACGCUGGCGGCGUGCCUAACACAUGCAAGUCGAGCGAAGCUUAAGCCUUCAGCUUGCUGUUGGCUUAAGACUUAGCGGCGAACGGGUGAGUAACGCGUGGGUGACCUACCCAGGAGACCGGGAUAACAGCUCGAAAGGGCUGCUAAUACCGGAUGACAUCCUGCUCUUUGGGGGUAGGAUCAAAGCGUUAUGUAGCGCUUCUGGAUGGGCCCGCGUCCCAUUAGCUAGUUGGUGAGGUAACGGCUCACCAAGGCGACGAUGGGUAGCCGGUCUGAGAGGAUGGUCGGCCACACUGGGACUGAGAUACGGCCCAGACUCCUACGGGAGGCAGCAGUGGGGAAUCUUGGUCAAUGGACGGAAGUCUGAACCAGCCAUGUCGCGUGAAGGAGGACGGCCCUAAGGGUUGUAAACUUCUUUUGCAGGGGAAUAAAGUAUUCCACGAGAUGGGAUAUUGCAAGUACGCUGCGAAUAAGGAUCGGCUAACUCCGUG
rnacentral:rRNA from 1 species